UGGGGAAUUUUGGACAAUGGGCGAAAGCCUGAUCCAGCAAUGCCGCGUGUGUGAAGAAGGCCUUCGGGUUGUAAAGCACUUUUGUCCGGAAAGAAAUCCUUGGCUCUAAUACAGUCGGGGGAUGACGGUACCGGAAGAAUAAGCACCGGCUAACUACGUGCCAGCAGCCGCGGUAAUACGUAGGGUGCAAGCGUUAAUCGGAAUUACUGGGCGUAAAGCGUGCGCAGGCGGUUUGCUAAGACCGAUGUGAAAUCCCCGGGCUCAACCUGGGAACUGCAUUGGUGACUGGCAGGCUAGAGUAUGGCAGAGGGGGGUAGAAUUCCACGUGUAGCAGUGAAAUGCGUAGAGAUGUGGAGGAAUACCGAUGGCGAAGGCAGCCCCCUGGGCCAAUACUGACGCUCAUGCACGAAAGCGUGGGGAGCAAACAGGAUUAGAUACCCUGGUAGUCCACGCCCUAAACGAUGUCAACUAGUUGUUGGGGAUCAUUUCCUUAGUAACGUAGCUAACGCGUGAAGUUGACCGCCUGGGGAGUACGGUCGCAAGAUUAAAACUCAAAGGAAUUGACGGGGUCAUAGCUGUUUCCU
rnacentral:rRNA from 1 species